UACGUAGGGGGGCUAGCGUUGUCCGGAAUCAUUGGGCGUAAAGAGCGUGUAGGCGGCCCGGUAAGUCCGCUGUGAAAGUCGGGGGCUCAACCCUCGAAUGCCGGUGGAUACUGUCGGGCUAGAGUGCGGAAGAGGCGAGUGGAAUUCCUGGUGUAGCGGUGAAAUGCGCAGAUAUCAGGAGGAACACCAAUGGCGAAGGCAGCUCGCUGGGACGGUACUGACGCUGAGGCGCGAAAGCGUGGGGGAGCAAACAGG
rnacentral:rRNA from 1 species